rnacentral:rRNA from 1 species
AACGAACGCUGGCGGCAUGCCUAACACAUGCAAGUCGAACGAGACCUUCGGGUCUAGUGGCGCACGGGUUCGUAACGCGUGGGAACCUGCCCUUAGGUUCGGAAUAACUCCCCGAAAGGGGUGCUAAUACCGGAUAAUGUCUUCGGACCAAAGAUUUAUCGCCUUUGGAUGGGCCCGCGUUGGAUUAGCUAGUUGGUAGGGUAAAAGCCUACCAAGGCGACGAUCCAUAGCUGGUCUGAGAGGAUGAUCAGCAACACUGGGACUGAGACACGGCCCAGACUCCUACGGGAGGCAGCAGUGGGGAAUAUUGGAAAAUGGGCGAAAGGCUGAUCCAGCAAUGCCGCGUGAGUGAUGAAGGCAUUAGGGUUGUAAAGCUCUUUUACCCGGGAUGAUAAUGACAGUACCGGGAGAAUAAGCUACGGCUAACUACGUG